UACGAACCGUCCAAACGUUACUCGGAAUCACUGGGCUUAAAGGGUGCGUAGGCCGCGCGGAGGGUGGGAUGUGAAAUCCCCCGGCUCAACCGGGGAAUAGCGUCCCAAACCGCCGUGCUCGAGGGAGACAGAGGUGAGCGGAACUGAUGGUGGAGCGGUGAAAUGCGUUGAUAUCAUCAGGAACACCAGUGGCGAAAGCGGCUCACUGGGUCUUCCUAACGCUGAUGCACGAAAGCUAGGGAGCGAAC
rnacentral:rRNA from 1 species